AGUAAUAUAUCGGAACGUGCCCAGUAGUGGGGGAUAACUGCUCGAAAGAGCAGCUAAUACCGCAUACGACCUGAGGGUGAAAGGGGGGGAUCGCAAGACCUCUCGCUAUUGGAGCGGCCGAUAUCAGAUUAGCUAGUUGGUGGGGUAAAGGCCUACCAGGGCAACGAUCUGUAGUUGGUCUGAGAGGACGACCAGCCACACUGGGACUGAGACACGGCCCAGACUCCUACGGGAGGCAGCAGUGGGGAAUUUUGGACAAUGGGCGCAAGCCUGAUCCAGCAAUGCCGCGUGCAGGAAGAAGGCCUUCGGGUUGUAAACUGCUUUUGUCAGGGAAGAAAUCCUCUAGGUUAAUACCCUUGGGGGGAUGACGGUACCUGAAGAAUAAGCACCGGCUA
rnacentral:rRNA from 1 species